UCGAAUCCCUGAGACCGACUCACCGAACCCCUGGAGUUCGAUCGAACCCAGGUUAAGAAACACUGGUCUGGACAAUAAAAACAAUGAGGAGAUAUUCCUUCAAGGAAAGCUCAGAAAUAAGCACAUCUGUAAAACAGGUUUCCACCGUAAUCAUCCACCAGUUUGAAGCGUGAGAGGGCAUCCAGGUGGCUCAGGUUGUGGUUUAUAGAGCAGCACUGCAUGGGGCCAUCCCUCUGAUGCCAGCGGGGGCCCAUGCAGGUGGUGGGCCCACCGCAGUCUCCUCAUCAAGCAAGUCGCAUCGGCACAAUGAAUGGACUCAAAACCCCAUUCUUUGUGGUGGAGGGGAGGUGGCAAGGGGUCCCUGCUGGCCUCCUCUGCUGCUUGUUCGACAAUCAGCUGCCAGCUCACCUCACCCAAUAUAAUCUUCUCCCCAAAAUGUCUCCAUAGUGGCAGCUAAGAACUGAUUUCCAGAUGAAUUACCAGCGAGCAUUCAUUUGCCAGUGUUUGACGCCGCCAUCUGUCCCCUGGAUACAUGGAAUAUGUAUGAUUGCCCUUCUCCACGCCUGCUCCUAUUUCAGCAGCAACUCUCUACCCAGCUUUCUAGCUCUGUCACACA